UACGAAGGGUGCAAGCGUUACUCGGAAUUACUGGGCGUAAAGCGUGCGUAGGUGGUGGUUUAAGUCCGUUGUGAAAGCCCUGGGCUCAACCUGGGAAUUGCAGUGGAUACUGGAUCACUAGAGUGUGGUAGAGGGAUGCGGAAUUUCCGGUGUAGCAGUGAAAUGCGUAGAGAUCGGAAGGAACAUCUGUGGCGAAGGCGGCAUCCUGGGCCAACACUGACACUGAGGCACGAAAGCGUGGGGAGCAAACAGG
rnacentral:rRNA from 1 species